rnacentral:rRNA from 1 species
CAAUAGCGUAUAUUAAAGUUGUUGCAGUUAAAAAGCUCGUAGUUGGAUUUCUGGUGGGAGCGAUCGGUCUGGCGCUUAGCGCGAGUACUUGCAUCGUCUCCGGCCAUCCUUGGGGAGAGUCUGUCUGGCAUUAGGUUGUCGGGCAGAGGAUCUUCAUCGUUUACUGUGAAAAAAUUAGGGUGUUCAAAGCAGGCUUAUGCCGUUGAAUAUAUUAGCAUGGAAUAAUAAGAUAGGACUUUGGUACUAUUUUGUUGGUUUGCGCACCAAAGUAAUGAUUAAUAGGGACAGUUGGGGGUAUUCGUAUUCCGUUGUCAGAGGUGAAAUUCUUGGAUUUACGGAAGACGAACUACUGCGAAAGCAUUUACCAAGGAUGUUUUCAUUAA